CUACGGGAUGCUCCAGUGGGGAAUCUUGGACAAUGGGCGCAAGCCUGAUCCAGCCAUGCCGCGUGAGUGAAGAAGGCCUUAGGGUCGUAAAGCUCUUUCGCCAGAGAUGAUAAUGACAGUAUCUGGUAAAGAAACCCCGGCUAACUCCGUGCCAGCAGCCGCGGUAAUACGGAGGGGGUUAGCGUUGUUCGGAAUUACUGGGCGUAAAGCGCGCGUAGGCGGAUUAGUCAGUCAGAGGUGAAAUCCCAGGGCUCAACCCUGGAACUGCCUUUGAUACUGCCAGUCUUGAGUUCGAGAGAGGUGAGUGGAAUUCCGAGUGUAGAGGUGAAAUUCGUAGAUAUUCGGAGGAACACCAGUGGCGAAGGCGGCUCACUGGCUCGAUACUGACGCUGAGGUGCGAAAGCGUGGGGAGCAAACAGGAUUAGAUACCCCAGUAGUC
rnacentral:rRNA from 1 species